rnacentral:tRNA from 1 species
AAGGUUUUAAGUUAAUAAAACUAUUAGCCUUCAAAGCUGUAAAUAAAGAAAUUUCUUUAAGCCUUA